CUUUGUUUAGCCUAAAAUAUGCAAUGUACUGCACAGUUAAACGGUGAAAAAACUUUCAUAUAGCGUGAGUAUUUGGUGAAAGUAGUACAAACACAUGUUUUAUCGUAAACAUAUAUAUACAAAAAGUUGUUAUUUUAUUUUAGGAGUGAUCAAAAUAACCUCUAUAAUAGAAGAAAAGCUGAAGAUUUCAAAAUUUUCUGAAGGGAGCCACAGACAGAGAUGUAAACUCAGGCAGAUUUUCCAUGCUGAUAUCCGUGCAGCAGAGUCGAAGCAGACCUGUCAGAAAACAUCUCUAAGGUGCUAUGAAUCUCAUAACUAGAUACACAUCAUAAGAUAACUAGAGCUUACGGCUCUGUUUGGAUCCAGCCUCACUUGUGAAGACUUCAGAUGACGUAAACACUCACAAAGACAUUAUAUGAUGGCAUCUACAGAUGGACAUACACAACUGCCAAAUGUAACAUAUUGUAAUUACUGCACCAAAGCGCAACCCUACAGAUUUUCAACCCACUUAAUAUUGUUACAAACACAAUAUAUGUUUAUAUUUGAAAAAAAUAUUUUUUAGCUAAUUUUACUGAUUUAUUUCCAUUUAUUUGUCCACAAUACUCUGCCAAAUGAUGUUUUGCAUCAUCCAAAUAUUGUUAAUGUACAUAUUACAGACAUUGUAACAACACAAAGUGGGUUGAAAAAGUUUCUUCUCCUAAGUGCAGUAACUACGCAAACACUAAAACCGAGAAAAAAGUUCUUAAAGUGUUUUACACCAGCCAGUCAAACUUGUUACUGCAAUUUUUGGCAAACACAUUUCUCUGAUGGGACAAAAUUAAACCAGGAGACUUUGUCACAAGACAACAGAUCUCAAAAAGCCCAUUUCAACCUUUACCUCAAUUUUGACCAAAUAUAUAGUUACUGUGCUUUGGCUUUGUUGGGCAGUAUAGUAGUAUUAUAGUAAUGCUGGAGUGAAAGCAUGGUAACCAUAUAUUUUUAAAUCAUGGUAAAGUUUGUGGUUACUAAAAUGUAGUACUAUAAACCUAUGCUGUUGUAAGAGAAUGUUUAUUCUUUAUUAUUGUUGUGAAACCAUGGUUGAUUUUAUAUUUACCAUGUGUUACUGCAAAUGAUGGUAAAAUCAUGGAUAACUUUGCAUGGGUACAGAAAGGUGUAAACUGGUUGUUUUUAUUUGGAAGUCAUGUUGGUUUUAAUGCAUGUGAUAAAUGUAUAUGCAUUUGAAUAUUUAUUCUGUUUACUGACAAUAAUAAAUUUGCAGUUGCUGAUGUAAA